rnacentral:lncRNA from 1 species
AAAGCAAGACUGCCUGUAAGCCCUGCCCACCUCGUUCUUAUUUUAGGUUUCAGUCUCCUAAACUCCAUCAAAUUCGCGCUGCGCACUCGGCGAGCUCGGCAGCGGCUCCCAAGAAAAAAAAGCCAGAUCUUCCAAACAGAAUCUUCUUCCGACUGCCAUGCUGGAAAAGGCAUCCUUAGAUUUCGUCCCAACUGUGUUAAAUACUGCCGCCGGCGGAGAGCGUUUCCGGUUGUAGAGCUGGGUGCGACACUGCACACGUCCCUGGCACAGAGCACUGUAAAUGCGAGUGAGGAAGGGCCUCUUGGCCUCGUAGGACGCGGCUGUUUCUAUUUACUUGUGUGAGAGUAAGAUUAAAGAAGCUGAGAUAGCUGUGGGUGAUUUGCUUAGUGAAGAACUGGGGCCUCUGCACCCUGAUCCAAGAAAACCCUGAAAACCCACUGUUUCCAUUAUCUUCCUGUUUUUUCAAACGGUGUUAUUAUCUCGGCAAUUGCUUCCCCUCUCCGCGUCGUGAGCGAGACACGACCAGGAAAUGAUGCAAUUACCAAAGAAGUCAAGAAACCUUCUAGCCCGCCAUCAGUUCAGAAACUCGCAUGAAAUAGGAGCAGACGGCAAGAGAAUGUAACUUUGAAAGUGCCAACCGUUACAGUUGGAUAAAUGUAACCCAAGAGAUCCCGCUCCGCUGCAAGAUGAAAGCAGGCUUAAGUAAAAUAGACAUAAAUGUGUAAUGAACUUGCUCGCAAUAUCCGGCGCCACUGUGAAUUACAGCCUUUGUCCAGCACCAUAGAAUAUAGGUGAGGCUGAACUGGAUUAUUUUUUCUGGUUUUCAGCAAUUGGGAAGUGAUAUUUAGCUUAUUGAUUUAAAUUUAUCUGAAAUUAUUUAAUAAUAUGCAAGCAGGAAGAUUAGAAUGACUUAUUAAGACUAAUAAGUAAAGAUGGAACCAUCACCAGAGAAAUUUCUAAACUUACUGUAUUUUAGAUGGGACACACACCUCUUUCCUAUAUCAAGGAAUUUUUAGGAACUUGAGUGCAGUAGGUGGAGCUCUUACCUCUUAACUGGGGAUUACCAGCACUUGCUUAGCAUAAGAAUACCUAGUUUUGAAUUAAAAAAAAUAAAGCAGAUAUUACUUUCAGAAAAAAUUUAAGUUUUAAUAGGUAGAGUCACAAUCUUGUACAAUAGGUAUAGCAAGGUACAGGGAGAACCAUCAUCCUUCUUUUAUGCCCUAAUCAGUCCUUAUUUCUUCUUUCCAGAGUUAACCAAUGUUAAGUUUUUUCUGUUAAAAUGCUAUCUUUCAUUUUAUUUAUUUUAUUUCUUAUUUAUUUAAUAGCUAUUUCUUUUUUCCCCAAAUUUUUGACUUGAAACAUACCAAACCUACAGAAACCUGCAAGUAUAAAACAAUGAACACAUUACCUAUAUCCUUCAUCUAGACCUGUGCUGUCUAAUUAACACCAGCAUCUUUCAUGUGACUUUGUCCACUGCAUUGUGGUGAGUAAGAAUUGAGGUGUUCUGAAACUGUUAAAUACAUGCUGGAUUUUUAAGCAUUAGUAUGAAGAAAAAAGUAUGUAAAAUGUUAAUAAUGUUUACAUUGAUUACAUUCUAAAUGCUAAAGACUGAGUUAAAAUAUUAACAUCAUUUUCCUUUUUUUAAUGUAGCUACUAGAUUAUUUUAAGUUGUAUAUACUGUUUGCCUUAUAUUUCUAUUUUAUAGUGCUAAUCUAGAUUCAGUAGUUAACAUUUUGCCAUAAUUUGCUUUCUUUUGAUCUUUUAUCUGAAACCAUUUGAGGUUAGUUGCAGACAUCAUGAAAUUUUACUUCCAACUACUAUAUCAUUUAUUUCCAAAGAACAAGCAAUACAGUUAUCACUCAGGAAAUUAAAUUUAAUUCAACAUUAUUUAUUGUACAGUUCCUAGUCAAAUUUUCCCAUUGUCCUAACACUUUUUAUAUUUUUUCCUUUUUAUCCAGGAUCCACUCAAGGAUUAAACAGCGCAUUUAGUUGUCAUGUUUCUGUAGUCUUUUAUUAUUUAUUUAUUUUUUUGUUUUUUGCCAUUUCUUGGGCCGCUCCCACAGCAUAUGGAGGUUCCCAGGCUAGGGGUCUAAUGGGAGCUAUAGCAGCCAGCCUACGCCAGAGCCACAGCAACGCGGGAUCGGAGCUGCGUCUGCAACCUACACCCCAGCUCAGGGCAACGCCAGAUCCUUAACCUCGAGGUUCCUAGGUUCCUAGUCCUAUUUGUUAACCACUGAGCCACGACGGGAACUCCUGUAGUCUCCUUUUGGUCUGAAACAAUUCUCCAAUCCUCUUUUUUUUGUUUGUUUUUGUUUUUGUUUUGUUUUGUUUUUACAGCAUUGACCUUUUUGAAUAGUGGAGGACAGUUGCUUCAGAAACUCCCUCCAUUUAAAUAAAUAUUUCUUUUGUUAGAAAAACUGUCUUAAGUGAUGUGUCCUUCUCAGGGCAUUACAUCAGAAUUCAAAUACUGUUGAUGUAUUGUGUUAUCUCUAAUGGUGAAUUGGGUAGGCAGAAUAAUGUCCCGCAGGAGAUGUUUCUGUCCUAAUCUCCAGAAUAAUGAAUGCUUCCUGUGGCAGUAGGAGUUUUGCAAAUGUGAUUAAUUAAGGGUUUUGAGAGAGCAAAAAUUAUCCUAUGUUAUGGGAGGGGGGGUACAUCCAAAAUCAUCACAGGGAUCCUUCCAAGACAAGGAGGGAGGUUGGAGAGUUGGAGUCCCAGUGAUAUAAUGCCAGGAGGCUUUGAAGACAGAGGAAGGGGACCAUGAGCUAAGGAAUGCAGGGGGCCUCUAGAAGCAGAGAAAGGCAAGGAAAUUGGGGUUCUUCCCUAGAGCCUCCAGAAAGAAAACAGCCCUGCCAACACCUAGGGUUUAGCCUAGUGAGACCUCCAUCAAAAUUCUGGACUACAGGACUGUUAGAUAUAAAUUUGUGCUGUUGUAAGCCAUUGAGUUUGUGGUAAAUUUUUGCAGUACCAGUAGGAAACAAAUACAGUAAGUCUGAUAAUUUGGUGAAGGUGUCUGCCAUAUUUCUCCUUUUUUGUUGUUGUUGUUUUGUUUGGUUUGGUUUGGUUUGGUUUUGGUUUUGGUUUUUUUCUUUUUUGGCCAUACCCCCGGCUCAUGGAAGAUGUCUAGCCAGCGAUCAAAUCUGAGUCACCUAUAUCACAGCUGCAACCUUUACCACAACGCUGGAUCCUUAACCCACCGCACUGGCUGGGGAGCCAACUGGCACUGCCGCAGAGAUAACACGGGGAUCCUUAACCCGCUG